rnacentral:rRNA from 1 species
UAACACAUGCAAGUCGAGCGAAGCGCUGUUCAGAAUCUUCGGAGGAAGAGGACAGUGACUGAGCGGCGGACGGGUGAGUAACGCGUGGGCAACCUGCCUCAUACAGGGGGAUAACAGUUAGAAAUGACUGCUAAUACCGCAUAAGCGCACAGGACCGCAUGGUGUAGUGUGAAAAACUCCGGUGGUAUGAGAUGGACCCGCGUCUGAUUAGGUAGUUGGUGGGGUAAAGGCCUACCAAGCCGACGAUCGGUAGCCGACCUGAGAGGGUGACCGGCCACAUUGGGACUGAGACACGGCCCAAACUCCUACGGGAGGCAGCAGUGGGGAAUAUUGCACAAUGGGGGAAACCCUGAUGCAGCGACGCCGCGUGACGGAAGAAGUAUUUCGGUAUGUAAACUUCUAUCAG